CUGAAAUACAUUAUCAUAUGCUAUGAAAAGAUAUGUCCAAGGAUGUUUGCAUAACAACAUUAUUUGAAAAAAGCCCAAAACUGGAAAGAAUAAAAAUGUCCAGCAACAGAGAUACACCAUGGCAUAAUACAUGCAAUGAAAUACUAAACAGCAAUAAACAUGAACAAAUAACUACAUGAAAUUACAUGGAUGAAUCUUAACAAUGUGUGAAGGAAGCAGACACAAAAUAGAAGUUAUAGUUAUACCCUUUCAAAAACCAAGCAAAAUUUAUCUGUGGUCUUAGAAGUCAGAAUAGUGGUUAUCUUGGGGAGAAGGGAAAGCGUAGUAAUUGGGAGGGGACCUUACGGGACAUAUGGUGUUUUAUUUCUUAAUUUAUACUCGCUAUAAUACACUUGUGUAUUUACGUUAUAAUAAUUUGUGGAGUUGUGUACUUAAUUAUUUGUAAGAUUUUCUGUAUGUGUUUUAUGCAUCAACCAAAAAGU